rnacentral:rRNA from 1 species
UUUCCUACGGGGGGCAGCAGUGGGGAAUAUUGCACAAUGGGGGAAACCCUGAUGCAGCGACGCCGCGUGAGCGAUGAAGUAUUUCGGUAUGUAAAGCUCUAUCAGCAGGGAAGAAGAUGACGGUACCUGACUAAGAAGCCCCGGCUAACUACGUGCCAGCAGCCGCGGUAAUACGUAGGUGGCAAGCGUUAUCCGGAAUUACUGGGUGUAAAGGGUGUGUAGGCGGGGCUGCAAGUCAGAUGUGAAAAUUAUGGGCUCAACCCAUAACCUGCGUCUGAAACUGUAGCUCUUGAGAGUGGGAGAGG